UCAUUUUCAGAUGUUUAUUUUUUGCGAAUGUGUGCAUUUGGCCGGAAAACAAUCUGACAUUCCACCUUGAGAUGUUAUUUGAGAGUUGUUCCAUCCUUAAAUGUAAAGCAAGGAUUUAAAACAGUGUGAGAAAGGGUUAACAUUGUCGCCUAUGGGAAAUGUAUUGGUGGACUGUAUACCCCAUAUAUAUUGAGUACGUCUAUUGGUUCAUGGUGAUACAGGAAAACUUCAAGGUUCCUGCAGAUGGUGUUUAAAACUAUUGGCCAGUGAACACAAACCCAUUUAAUUAUAUUUUGAAUCUUCACCAGGAGAAAAAAGAUGGCAGUACUUCUAAUGCAAGCAGCUACUAGGGAAGAUUUAAUGAAGGAAGAUGAGGAAGUGGAGAAAAAGCUGAAGAACAAGGAGGACAAGGUGAAGAAAGGACAAGGGCACAGUGACUUGCAGUGUGUGUCAUGUAACAUUAUUACAACAUCUAUAUCAUGGGUCCAUAAUUUUGAGUAAGUCAUUCAUCAACCACUUUAUCUGUACUGGAAACCAUUUCUGAGAGGGAUGAAGUGAUGGAAGAUAAUGAGCCAGAGGGUGGAACGGAAGAGAAAGGGAAAGAAAUAAAGAAAAAGGCAGAAUGAAAAAGGACUAGAACUUGCAAUAGAAGAAAGAGUUGAGGAAAUGAAGAGGAAGAAAUUGAAGAUGAAAAGAAGAGCUCUGGGAGGAAAAAAUUCCAUUUGUAAGAUGUGUGGACAAAAGAAAAACAGCCAUAGAGUGCCAAUGUGGAGUGGAAUAAGUCAGUAUGACUUAAACAUGGUCAAUUGAAGUGUUUGAAUGCCCCUCCAGAAUGCAGAACAAUCUUUGAAUUUGCAGGAAAGAGUAUAAAAUUUGCUGUUAAAAUAUCAUAACAGCUAGACAAAGAUUAAAUAACAACUACAUGUACAUCUAAAGAAUUCUUUUGUCAUAAUAGUGAUUCAUGUGCUAGUACAUGUGACAAGUGCUAUAACGACCUAAUAUAAGUGUGUUUUAGGAGCAUGUUGACUCUAUUGUAAAUGUAUUGACUCCUUAUAUGACCUCAUUUAUAUAUAACAUUAUAUGAAUGGUAGUGUAGUGACUUGAAAUGUGUGUUAGUAGUAUAGCUCGUUAUGUGUGGUAAUUUUGUUAUUUGUUUUACAUGUAUGAUAGUACAUAUAGUAUGGUGACUCAUGUGUUGGGAAUUAAUGUAUAAUUUUA